AGAGUUUGAUCCUGGCUCAGGAUGAACGCUAGCGACAGGCCUAACACAUGCAAGUCGAGGGGCAGCGGGGAGGUAGCAAUACCUUUGCCGGCGACCGGCGCACGGGUGAGUAACACGUAUGCAAUCCACCUGUAACAGGGGGAUAACCCGGAGAAAUCCGGACUAAUACCCCAUAAUAUGGGCGCUCCGCAUGGAGAGUUCAUUAAAGAGAGCAAUUUUGGUUACAGACGAGCAUGCGCUCCAUUAGCCAGUUGGCGGGGUAACGGCCCACCAAGGCGACGAUGGAUAGGGGUUCUGAGAGGAAGGUCCCCCACAUUGGAACUGAGACACGGUCCAAACUCCUACGGGAGGCAGCAGUGAGGAAUAUUGGUCAAUGGUCGGCAGACUGAACCAGCCAAGUCGCGUGAGGGAAGACGGCCCUACGGGUUGUAAACCUCUUUUGUCGGAGAGUAAAGUACGCUACGUGUAGCGUAUUGCAAGUAUCCGAAGAAAAAGCAUCGGCUAACUCCGUGCCAGCAGCCGCGGUAAUACGGAGGAUGCGAGCGUUAUCCGGAUUUAUUGGGUUUAAAGGGUGCGUAGGCGGCACGCCAAGUCAGCGGUGAAAUUUCCGGGCUCAACCCGGAGUGUGCCGUUGAAACUGGCGAGCUAGAGUACACAAGAGGCAGGCGGAAUGCGUGGUGUAGCGGUGAAAUGCAUAGAUAUCACGCAGAACCCCGAUUGCGAAGGCAGCCUGCUAGGGUGAAACAGACGCUGAGGCACGAAAGCGUGGGUAUCGAACAGGAUUAGAUACCCUGGUAGUCCACGCAGUAAACGAUGAAUACUAACUGUUUGCGAUACAAUGUAAGCGGUACAGCGAAAGCGUUAAGUAUUCCACCUGGGGAGUACGCCGGCAACGGUGAAACUCAAAGGAAUUGACGGGGGCCCGCACAAGCGGAGGAACAUGUGGUUUAAUUCGAUGAUACGCGAGGAACCUUACCCGGGCUUAAAUUGCAACUGACUGAACCGGAAACGGUUCUUUCUUCGGACAGUUGUGAAGGUGCUGCAUGGUUGUCGUCAGCUCGUGCCGUGAGGUGUCGGCUUAAGUGCCAUAACGAGCGCAACCCUUGCCGAUAGUUACUAACAGGUUAUGCUGAGGACUCUGUCGGGACUGCCAUCGUAAGAUGUGAGGAAGGUGGGGAUGACGUCAAAUCAGCACGGCCCUUACGUCCGGGGCUACACACGUGUUACAAUGGGGGGUACAGAAGGCAGCUACACGGCGACGUGAUGCCAAUCCCAAAAACCUCUCUCAGUUCGGAUCGAAGUCUGCAACCCGACUUCGUGAAGCUGGAUUCGCUAGUAAUCGCGCAUCAGCCAUGGCGCGGUGAAUACGUUCCCGGGCCUUGUACACACCGCCCGUCAAGCCAUGGGAGCCGGGGGUACCUGAAGUGCGUAACCGCAAGGAGCGCCCUAGGGUAAAACUGGUGACUGGGGCUAAGUCGUAACAAGGUAGCCGUACCGGAAGGUGCGGCUG
rnacentral:rRNA from 1 species